rnacentral:misc_RNA from 1 species
UCCCAAAGUUAAAUUUUGACUUUUUAUCAGCAGGCUUUAAUAUUUGGAAAGAGCACAUUAGAGUCUCAUCCACACUCAUCAUGGCACCAGCAUUAUCAAAUUCCCCACAAUAAUUAGGCGCUGAAAAUAUAGUUACAAGUUGCCUGUUGGCAAAGAACUCAUAUCCAUCCUCCACAACCUGGUGAGCACGACAAAUGAGAUCCAAAUCAUGCUUCUCGAGAAACUCUGUCACUCUGUCAGGACCAAAGGUAUAUGAAACUCCCCUGUCAUUCAUUCCCCAACCUUGAACAUCUUUACUGGGAUCUGACCAGAGAAGAUCACAAAGCAAACCUGUGUCUGGUACAUCAGUGGGGCGUUG